rnacentral:misc_RNA from 1 species
CAGGAAACUAAAGCUGAUACGGUGUCCUUCUCUGUGAUUCGAAGGGUUUGGGGAAUAGGUAAUUUGGUUUCGUCCGUUGCCAAGGAUGAAGGUCUUUCUGGUGGGUAGCUGUGUCUAUAGAAGGUGUGUUAUUAAUGGUUAUAUGGAACAAGGACCCAAUCCUAGUAAAGAGUAGCUGUGUCUAUAGAAGGUGGAUUCAUCUAAUAGGUACGGUGUUAACUUGCAAUUUAGAAUCUCAUUUUGUUUUUGUUCAUGGCCCC